CGCUGCGUGUCCAUGUUCCCAGCCACACACGCAGAGAAGGGAGAGAGAGUGAGAGACUAGACUGAGAGAGAGAGAGAGAGAGAGAGAGAGAGGAGGGGAAUGAAUUGCCCAGUGCUGAUGGUAGCGAGCUGCAAUCGGCGACGACGCGCAGCAUGGCCGCAAUGCAGUCGGCGUAUUCUCCGGCGAACUAACGGCGCCCCUAAGCUUGUUGUCUCCUCCGGUGGAACUGCAGUCGGGAAGGGAUUUGCAAUUUGUUUUGUCAGUGAGGCAAGGAUGGCUCUUCCCUCUCCUAGGGCGAGGAAGCCGGGGAGGUAGUCGUCAGCGAGGCUUCUACGGAGGCUUUUGUGGCGGACGGUGAAGCAGUCAUGGGGCUUCUCGUCCUGGUUGAUGGAGAGGUAGGAGACCUGGAGCUAUUCCUAAAGAACAUUGGCUUUGCCUAGCAGGAUGCUGCCACUGCGAAUGCUACUGCUAGGAAAGGGACUUUGAAAGUGGAAAUCUGAAAGUGGCAUGGAUUUUCAUCAUGUGAAAUCAAAAUACCUCUUGUAUCACCACGUAGAUCUGAUCUGACAAUCAAAGAGAGAGUCAACAGAAUUCUGGAUUUAAAGAAACCAAAUGAAGAUGACAAAACAUUCCUGAGUUAGGAACUUUUGUUUUCAGAUAACAAAACUUUUCUGGGACCGUGGGCUUUUGUUUUCAGUGGACAAAAUGUCGUGGGCUUUUUUUCUCCACCCAAAACGGGCUGUUGGCUGUGGCCCAAUUUUGUGAGAAAUAGUUAUGUCACCCAAAAUGUCCCAUUUGUAAUUUUGCUAGUAAAUUUGUAGGUGUAAUGCGUAUUUGUGCUAGUUUCUAAAAGUAUUUUUAGUUGGGCUUUUGUAAGUUAGCUCAGUGCUUUAAUGCCUUUUUUUAAGCCCAACAAAACAUACAGAAAUAUCUUGUGCUGGGCUCUUAUUUUCAGCCGAACAAAUCAGGCAUGAAGCCCAAAUCCA